rnacentral:other from 1 species
UUAAACCUAGAACUCUCGUUAAGGAACCAUAAUUGAACCUACAUUAUUUUAUUGGGAAUCCGGAGUCUUUCAUUUGAUGACAUGCCUUUUUAGGACUUCAGAGAUUGAAAGCAGGAUACCCACCUAUCGACAGAUAGGCAUCAAUUAUAUCCUGACGGAGCUUCCGGGUUUUUU